GGCCUGAGAUAUCACCCGUCGGGAGACGUCAAAACGAAGUCUGCGAAUAAUGAGAUGAUUGUCACUCCAUAGACAAAGAAGCAAGACGUAGUGCGGGAGCGUGGUUCGUUAAAAUUGUUAAAAUCUGAACUGCAAUUUAUUGAAUUUUAUGUAUUUUCAGUUACUCUUAAAGCUAAUUUCCAUAUCGUUGAACUUAAACUAACUUAUCCUAAGUGUAUCACAGUCAGACGUGUUAUCACAGUUGGAAGAUUAUCACAGUCAUUGUACAGUGAACACGAGGGAUACAAAAACCAAAAUCAUAUUCAAUAGGCUCAAAGACCGAAAAUUCUUAAAGCUGUCUUCACACCCUACUUACUGGAGUUUGUGAGCUGCUACGAGGAAUCGGAAAGAGCCCCUUUGUUCCUUUGAACA